rnacentral:lncRNA from 1 species
UUUUUUUGAUUAUUAUUAAAAUCCUAUAUAUUUUAAAUACUAGGACUAUUUAUUCAUUUUUACUCCAAUAAUUUUGGCAACCAUGAAGGGACUAGAAGAAACAGAAUUCUUCUCCUGCCAUGGUUUUCCUUCUCCCCUCUCCUCUCUUCCUUCUUCACUUUCCCCUCUUCCUUCUUCCUUCUCCCUUCAGGAAACCCUUCAAAGCUUUCUCAGGCUCAUUGCCUACACCUGCCCACCAGGAGAGACUGGGUAGCCAGGUCUCUCCCUCACAGAGACUGUUCCUGCUGACUCCUUCCACUGUUACUACUGCUUGCCCGUUGCUGCUACUGGGAUAAAGAGAAAAGUACUGUAAACUUCUAGAUGAAGAGAGAGAGAGAGAUCUUGGGCCUUUAUCUCCCU